rnacentral:hammerhead_ribozyme from 1 species
AGCUAGCUGACGAGUCCCAAAUAGGACGAAAUGCGCAUCCUGGAU